rnacentral:misc_RNA from 1 species
GAUGAAGAACGCAGUGAAAUGCGAUAAGUAGUGUGAAUUGCAGAAUUCAGUGAAUCAUCGAAUCUUUGAACGCACAUUGCGCCCCUUGGUAUUCCAUGGGGCAUGCCUGUUCGAGCGUCAUUUGUACCUUCAAGCUUUGCUUGGUGUUGGGUGUUUGUCUCGCCUUUGCGUGUAGACUCGCCUUAAAAUAAUUGGCAGCCGGCGUAUUGAUUUCGGAGCGCAGUACAUCUCGCGCUUUGCACUCAUAACGACAGCGUCCAAAAGGACAUUUUACACUCUUGACCUCGGAUCAGGUAGGGAUACCCGCUGAACUUAAGCAUAUCAAUAAGCGGAGGA